GUCACCCACAACGCUCACUCCACUCACCCUCUCUUCUUCCUGUCACCCUCGCUCUCGUCGCCCUCUCUUCUCCCCACCACCUCGCCGGUCACCACCUCGCCCACCUCGCCAGCCACCAUCUCUCCCCGUCGCCGCCAUCCACUCGCACCCCGCUCCACUCACACCCCACAUCCAGGGUCAAGCUUUGAUGCACCUGCUCUGGAUCUGGCGAUGGAGGCGGUGGAUGCGGGAGAUGGGGACGAGGCCGUCGCGGUGGUGUGCCUGGACCACAUCCUCAAGCACGCCGGUGGCGCCACGGAGGAGGCCGAGCGCAUCCGCCGCUGCCACAACGCCGACGGCGCCAUGGAGUACUGGCUCGAGCCGGAUGAGCUCGCGGCCCUGCGCCGGGAGGUCGGCGCCGACCCGUACUGGGUGCCGCCAGGGUGGAAGCGCGGAGACCCCGUGUCCCGCUGACGGCUACGCGCUCAACGUAAAGAUGCAGGUGGAGGAGCUCAGCAAGGAGCUCGCCGGAGUAAAAAGGUCUCUUUUUCCCCCUUCUCCUGUCAUCUUCUCUUGCUCUGCUUGCUUGCUUGGAGCAGUAGACCUUGUAGGCAUUUGUGCAAGCAGUAGCACACAGAUUUGUGCAAGAUUGCUGCUCUUCCCUUCUCUUCUUGUUUUUGGAGCAAGCAACAGCAGGCGGAUUUGUGCAAGUAGACUUCAACAAAUAGAUUGGAGCAGACAGGUUUAGCAGGCAAAUUGUUUGGUGCUUGCUUGCUUUAGACAAACAGUUUUAGCACACAUGCUUUGCAUUGCAGACAAACAGGUUGUGCAAGAACACCCCAAAAGCAAGUAGACCUGCUUGCAGUAGCUCUUAGGUGAAUUUUAGGUGAAGUAUAGACCGGUUCAAAUCCUUUUAAAAUUUUGCAGUACUGCCUACUGAUUGUGCUGAAUUUUGAAGUGCAGACAAAGCAAGCAAAAAUCAACUGAAGAUUAACUGCAGUAGUUCUUGUAGUAGUCGGAUUGAGUAGUUCUUGCAGUAGUCGGAUUCAGUAGCCGGAGUACUUGCAGUAGUUCUUUCAACACCAUCAGAACAGUAAUCGCACCAUCCAGCUCAACACAUUCAGUCCAAAUUGCAGAAGAGUACUGUAAUUUAAGCGUAGGAUCAACGAAAGAGUACUGUGAUACACAUGCCCAAUUUUCUGUCUGGCAUAAUUAUACACAUGGGCAAGCCCAAUUAAUCAGCAACAAUCAUUUCAGUUAAUUUUCAGUUAAUUUUGGGCGUGUGCUGUACAAGGAAUGGGCAUGACCAAGUGAUCAAAUGGAAGAUCAAGAAGUAAAUAUCACAGGAGCAGAAAGGAGCAGCGAGCAGCGGCGGCUGACCUCGAGCUCUCGAUUGGAGUGGAGGGAGGCGGCCGACGAGGGAUCUGCGGCCAGCGGGGAAGGAUCCUGAGCUGCGGCGGAGCAGCCAGCCGAUGGGGAAAGGCGGCCGCCGACGAGGGAGCUCCGGACCGCGGCGAGGCAGCUUCCGAUCGCGGCGGGGAAGGGCGACCAAAGAGGGGAUCUGGCUCUCGAUUGGAGCGGCGCAGGCAACCUCCGGGGAAGGACGCCGGAGAUGCGGACGGCGGAGGAGCCUGGCGAAGGGAAGGAGCGACGGAGAAAGACGACGACCCGAGCGAUUUCAAAGCAGGGGCAGUUUUGUAAUUUCACUAGUUUUCACCUGGUCGGAAAAGACACCCCAGCGACAAUUAUUUCGGAACGGAGGGAGUAUUUGUUCACUUAUUUCAGUAGGUAUGUAGUUUAUAGUAUUAAAAUAUACAAAACAUCUUAUAAUUUGAAACGGAGGGAGUAUAUGAGAGAUUUAUAA